AACGAACGCUGGCGGCGUGCCUAACACAUGCAAGUCGCGCGAGAAAAGGGGGGCAACUCCCUGAGUAAAGCGGCGCACGGGUGAGUAACGCGUAGGUGACCUACCCUUGAGUCCAGGAUAACCUACCGAAAGGUGGGCUAAUACCGGAUAUGACCACGGGGACUUCGGUCCCUGAGGUGAAAGGUGGCCUCUGUUUACAUGCUACCGCUCAUCGAUGGGCCUGCGCGCCAUUAGCUAGNGGUGGGGUAAUGGCCACCAAGGCGAUGAUGGCUAGCUGGUCUGAGAGGAUGGCCAGCCACACUGGGACUGAGACACGGCCCAGACUCCUACGGGAGGCAGCAGUGGGGGAUAUUGCGCAAUGGGCGAAAGCCUGACGCAGCGACGCCGCGUGGGUGAUGAAGGCCUUCGGUCGU
rnacentral:rRNA from 1 species